rnacentral:rRNA from 1 species
GACGAACGCUGGCGGCGUGCUUAACACAUGCAAGUCGAACGGAAAGGCCCUGCUUUUGUGGGGUGCUCGAGUGGCGAACGGGUGAGUAACACGUGAGUAACCUGCCCUUGACUUUGGGAUAACUUCAGGAAACUGGGGCUAAUACCGGAUAGGAGCUCCUGCUGCAUGGUGGGGGUUGGUUAGUUUCGGCGGUUGGGGAUGGACUCGCGGCUUAUCAGCUUGUUGGUGGGGUAGUGGCUUACCAAGGCUUUGACGGGUAGCCGGCCUGAGAGGGGGACCGGCCACAUUGGGACUGAGAGACGGCGCAGACUCGUACGGGAGGCAGCAGUGGGGAAUAUUGCACAAUGGGCGGAAGCCUGAUGCAGCAACGCCGCGUGCGGGAUGACGGCCUUCGGGUUGUGAACCGCUUUCGCCUGUGACGAAGCGUGAGUGACGGUAAUGGGUAAAGAAGCACCGGCUAACUACGUG